rnacentral:rRNA from 1 species
ACGACGCUGGCGGCGUGCCUAACACAUGCAAGUCGAGGGGUGAUUUCGGUCAUCACUGGCGCACGGGUGAGUAACGCGUAGAUCAUCUGCCCCUAUCACUGACAUAACAGUUCUAACGGACUGCUAAUAUCAGAUGAGGUGAGCAAUCAUCAAAGUUUCGACGGAUAGGGAUGAGUCUGCGUCUGAUUAGGUAGUUGGUGAGGUAACGGCUCACCAAGCCGACGAUCAGUAACUGGUCUGAGAGGACGAACAGUCACACUGGAACUGAGACACGGUCCAGACUCCUACGGGAGGCAGCAGUGAGGAAUAUUGCACAAUGGGAGCAAUCCUGAUGCAGCGACGCCGCGUGCGGGAUGAAGGGGCUUAGCCUCGUAAACCGCUGUCGGAGGGGACGAAUGGUACAUUUGGCGUACUGAGACGGUACCCUCAAAGGAAGGAUCGGCUAACUACGUG